UACGAAGGGGGCUAGCGUUGUUCGGAAUCACUGGGCGUAAAGCGCACGUAGGCGGAUCUUUAAGUCAGGGGUGAAAUCCCGGAGCUCAACUUCGGAACUGCCUUUGAUACAGCACAUCUGGAGUCCGGAAGAGGUGGGUGGAAUUCCUAGUGUAGAGGUGAAAUUCGUAGAUAUUAGGAAGAACACCGGUGGCGAAGGCGGCCCACUGGUC
rnacentral:rRNA from 1 species